GAGAGGUGGGGGGAGAGAAAGGGUAAGGAAGAAGUAGGACGAGAUUAGAGGAAACCCAAGAAAGGAGCCCCUACUGCAAAAGCCAGGAAACAUCAGUCCGAAUUGGCUGAGACCCCGACUCCAGCGGUCCCAAGCCGGGGCCUCCCCACCCCCACCGCCGCAGAGUCGCCUUCGUAGACACCUCCCAAGGCUGCUCGCAGCGCAGCGGGCGCCAGAAAUGCAAAGAAAGAAGGGGAAUCACACUCUGACUUGUAGGUGAAAGAAGUAAUUCCUGCUCCUGGUCAUCUCACGUCGUCUUUAACCACGUAACCAAGGCAUAUUUAUCUAUCAACAAGAAUUAACCAAGGAAGAAAGAAUGAGUAAGUAGGAAGACACGUUCAGAAGCCUGGCUUAUGAACUUCCUGGUGCCAUCUCCAGGUUUACAUUGCCCUCUUUAGGCAAACACAUGACAGUU